AAAAAUGGAGAAAAAGGAAAAUGUGCAGAUGGAAGAAACAUCAUCAUGAGGGCAAAAUGGGGCAUUGUUGUUUGAAGGGAACAGCUCCAUUCUCCAAAUGAUGACUGGAUAUCCACCUGAAGACUGGUUAACGAAUCAAAGAAAUGAGUCAGGAAAGCAAGACCAUGAAUCGUUCUCUGAGGCCAAGUAGCCAUGACGUGAGUUAAGUCCUGAAGACGGCUCUUUUGAAAAGGAAGUAUACAGGUUGGAUAAAGAAUUGAUUGAGAGCAGCC
rnacentral:lncRNA from 1 species